rnacentral:lncRNA from 1 species
GGGGGGGGGGCUAUGUUUUUUUUUGGAAAAAAAAGUUAGUUUCCAGUUUUUGGAGAAAAAAAUAAUUUGUUUUUGAUUUUGAGAAAAAAAAAUUGUUUGUUUCACCCUCAGCUGCCACUAUAUGUAAUGCUAAAAUUGAAAGAAAAAAAUUGUUUUCGACUUGUCGCGAAAAAAAUAGAUUGUUUUUCGCCGCAGGCGAAAAAAAAAAGUUUGCACAGAAAAAAAAACCAUAGCCCCCCCCAGAAAAUCAAAUGGUUGCUGCCUUAAUAAAACUUUUGUGUUUCAGUACAUUUAAAAUCUUCAAUGUUUUUACCCAUACCAAGCUAAAAACAUGCAGUAUUUACAUCAAAUCAAUUAAAAACAACAAUCUUGAUUUUCUAAUUAUUCAACUGGAAUUUCAUUUAAAAUUGGAUGCGAACGGACCUUGGGUGCGAACGUGUAGGGUGCGAAAGUGUAUUGGGCGCGAACGAACCUGAUAGCACAAUUACCUUCACAUUUUUUUUUUUAACUUUUGGUUGGACGCAAUAACUGUGGCGGAUGAUCGAUUAUCCAGAUAUUUUUAUAAGAGGGGCACUGACAUGUCUAAGACGAAUGUAGGACAGAAAGUCACCGGACAAAAGAAACAGAAACUAGAGGCUCUAAAU